rnacentral:misc_RNA from 1 species
AGCCUCGAUCGCCGAAGAAGGAAUCUUCUCAUGCUGGCCUUAGAAUGGAUGAUGAUCGUGAGAGUCUGACAGCGACUAAAGCGAUUUCGACGGUUUCUGAUGUUGAAACCCAGCGAGAGGAGAAGUUCCAGAUAGAUCUGAUGGCUCCACCACCAGUAAGAUCAUCCCCAGAAAGAGACAGUGAGAUUGGCUUUGUGCCUGUAGAUCAUAAACCUAUAAUCACAGACGUCGAAACGGAAAUAAAACCGGCGGUUAAAGAAGAUGAUAAGUCUCUGAAAAUUGGAAAAGAUGUGUGUGUGGAACCAGAGGAGAAAAAGACAAAACUGGUAGCCGAAGAUGUUGAAUCGCAUAAACCAAAUGCUAGUAAAGAGAGGAAUAUUGAUCUGCAGCUUGAUUUGGAGAAAUCUGAUAGAGAUAGUGGCGUCGUUACCGGAAGUGGUAACAAGUUGCACCAUCAUGUUCAGAAACAACAGCAGCAGCAGCAACCAAACACCGAGAAAGCUGCUCAAUCAAGUUCUCUUCCUCUACCCAUGUCAAUGGCUAGUUGGCCGGGUGGGCUUCCUCACAUGGGAUAUAUGGCACCUCUACAAGGAGUUGUAUCCAUGGACGUGAGCACUGUAUCUUCUGCAGCUAUACAGCCUCCACAUUUGCUUUUUAGUCAACCAAGGCCGAAGAGGGGUGCAACGCAUUACUACAUUGCACGGAAUAUUCAUUAUCACCAGCAAUUUACAAGGAUGAA